rnacentral:lncRNA from 1 species
CUCAGAAUUCCAAACCAGUUUGAGAUCAAAGCUGUGAAAGUCAACAAGAUCAUCUAUCUCCAAAACCAAAUUUGCGUUCUUAAACUCUACUCUGUCUGGUUUUUACUUUGGUAUACUUGUCAUGUUUAUUCGUUUUUUGUUUGUUUGCUUGUUUUUGUGUGAGUUUAUGCUUGAAACAUUGAGGACAAUGUUUGAUUUAAGUGUGGGGGGGGCAACCAAGUUGUUUUGCAUGAAAUUUGUAGGAGUUUAUCACCCAUUACUUUUAGUGUUGUUCCUUGCUGUUUUUAAGUGUUUUUAAGUUGUUUUGGAGCGUGUUUUGACAUAAAAAUCCGAAAAUCUCAUAAAAAUUUGAAAAAUUGUUUUGAAAAACCCAAAAAGAGUUGUUUUUAUGUGUUUGUUUGUGUCUUAGGGUACCUUCCAACACAAUGACGAGGAUUUGAUUUUUAAUUACAUGACUGUUAAAGAGUUAUAAACAUGGAUGAAAAAUUUGAUUUACUCUUUGGUGUAUGCUUGGUUGUGGUUAUAAUUUAUAAAUUCACAUGCAAUCAUAAAGGAAAAUUCAGUUUUUGUAACAUGCUUGAAGGAAGGAACUCAAAUGAACGCUACAACCUUGUGAGACUUGAGCCUAAACGUUUAUUUGGAGAGUUAAUAAUCUGUGCAUCAUUGUUUUCUAAAGUCGUUGCAUGAUCUCAUUAUUCUUUGCUUGGUUGCUACUUAGAAGGCGUUCCAUCAUUUAGUUCCAAAUGCUAGAACUCAUGCCUAUUUCAUUCAAAGCAUGCUAUUGAUUUGCAUAACACAUAUUCAAGAUGAAGUUGUGUAGUGACCACCAAAUCCAAAUUACCAUGCCCUUAUUUCAUUAAGUGUUUAAGUUUAACCCCGUUGAGCCUUGUUAAGCCUAUGUUCUUUGUUAAUCCACACUAUCCUUACCUAGCCUAGUUUUAGGACCAUCCAUACCCUUGUUCUUGAAGCAUAGUAAAGCAUGACUUAAAAUGAACUCCUUUUUUAUCAAUGUAUUGCAGAAAGCAAGUGUGGGGGAAGUGAUUCUUGUGUGUGUGUGUGUGCCAAAGUCCUUAAUAAGGCACGGGUAAAAAAGAAAAAAAAGAAAAAAAUGAAUUGAAAAGAGUAUGAAAAAGAGCUCUAAAGUGUUGUUUGUUAAAAAAGGGUCCAAAACAUUGAAUUCGGCCCGAAGUGUUGCAUGAAUCUUCCCUUUGUAUUUAAAAGUUGAUUCUGCAUUCUAAAUUGAAUUCCAAGUGUCUAUUUCAUUGCUUUGCUUGUUAUCGCUUUAAGAACGUUUGCUAUUCCUACCCUUUCUUUAUUAGCCAUUACCCUCAAGCCCUGUUACAACCCUUGACUUCAAUCUUGAGUGUUGUGUGUUUCAAUUUGUGGAGUUCGAAAUUGGUAUGAGCAUAUGGUGUCAUUGGUUCUCGCAUCUAAGUAGUAGCAUUCCAUUCAUGAGAUCAUAUCUAAACAUGCUUAAUAACUCCAGAAAAUUGCUUUCUUCGUUAUAACAUAUGUGAGUCCUAGUCUUUCGUGUUUACAUCAAUCUUCUCACAUAUACUACUAUAGGAUGUGUAGUCAGAAAAUUUGUGUGAAAAUAGAGAGUAUCUUGUAAGGAAUUGAGCAAAUUCUCUAAGGCAUGUUACUACAUUCAAAACAUUGUUUUAAUUGGUUAAUUGUGAACUAGGAAGUGGUGACUGUGAUUAAGUAUGUGCUCAAGUGUAAAGAUGACCAAAAUCUGUGGGAAUGGUGAUUUUUAACAUGUCAUGUUUCUUUAAAAAUCCCUGAGGCAAAUGUUGGAAGGUCUAGGUUGUGUUUUGUUUGUUUCGUUUGUUUUGUUUUGCUCGAGGACUACCAAAAGCUAACUGUGGGGGAAUUUGAUAGGAGCAUAUCUAUGCGACUGAGUUAGCUUGUUCUCAUGCAUUUAUGUUGUUAUUUCUUAGUUAAUUAUGUAUUUUAAGCUAUUUUCUUGUGUUUGUAGGUCCAUAGGCCUUAUAAAGCAAUAAGAUGCAUUUUGGUGCAUUUUGGAGCAGUUUUGGGCUUGGAAUGGAUAGCACAUGCAUGGAGCAAGGUGGAUGGACGAAAUUGAAGACUAAAGAGGCUAGCAAUGUGUUAAAGAGAAAGAAGAGUUAGUGUAAAAAGGACAAAGAGCUCAGCCACAAAGGGGUGUCACUCCACCAUUCACCUUUCCAUCAUUGCCGUGCAUCACCAUUGCACUCCCUUUGGAUUCCUAUGCCGUGCAUCAUCAUCAUCCAUGUUCCCUCCAUUGACUCAUUGGCUGUACCAUUCCACUUCCUUUCCUUUGUCUACCAUGUGUACAAUAUCCUUUCACCUCCUUGCACUCAUUGAUUCACCACUUACUCACCUUUCCACCCAUGCCAUGCAUAACCACCCUUGUCUCCUUCAUUAUUUCUGAUAUCAUGCAUCAAAACAUUGAAUCAUUGCACUCAAUUGCUGCACAUUUCUUGUCCCCUUCACCCAUCAGAUUUCAUACAACUUUUACCUCCACUACAUGCACUCAUUGAUGCACCAUCCACCACAUUUGGAAUCCCAUGUGGUUCAUCAUGAGUCUUGCUGCACCUUUGACUCAUUUCUGCACCAUUCCACCUCUCUUUCCUUUCUCUACCAUGUGCACAAUCAUUCAUGUUCCCUAGCUGCAACACCACUCCAUUUUACCACCCAUACUUUGCAUCAUCACUUCACUUUCACCUUUGAAUCAUUUCAAACACCAUUCAAUGCACUCAUUGCUGCAACGCCACUCCAUUUUACCCCCCAUGCUUUGUAUCAUUACUUCAUUUUCACCCUUGAAUCAUUGCACACACCACCAAUUCCCCUUCAUUGACA